AAAGUCGUAACAAGGUUUCCGUAGGUGAACCUGCGGAAGGAUCAUUAACAAAUCUGCUAGUAUGGGUGGUGGUGGGUAGGGUGCGGUAGGCCGUCAGGCCUGCCGUGCUGCCCUACUGCCAAGCCAUACUAUAUUGACCCGAGCUGGCAUAUAGAUAAUAUAUGCCGGUUUGGUUGGGUGGGGCGCAAGCCCUGCUCGGCUGUGCAGUACCAUUAGUACUAACGUACUCAUGGUACUACCAGCCACAUAGACGCUUGUAUGUUUGACAGAGUUACACAGUUGUAUACUAUAUAGACAACUUUUAACAAUGGAUCUCUUGGCUCUU
rnacentral:misc_RNA from 1 species